UUCGAUUAGAGUUUGAUCAUGGCUCAGAUUGAACGCUGGCGGCAUGCCUUACACAUGCAAGUCGAACGGCAGCAUGAUCUAGCUUGCUAGAUUGAUGGCGAGUGGCGAACGGGUGAGUAAUACAUCGGAACGUGCCCUGUAGUGGGGGAUAACUAGUCGAAAGAUUAGCUAAUACCGCAUACGACCUGAGGGUGAAAGUGGGGGACCGCAAGGCCUCAUGCUAUAGGAGCGGCCGAUGUCUGAUUAGCUAGUUGGUGAGGUAAAGGCUCACCAAGGCGACGAUCAGUAGCUGGUCUGAGAGGACGAUCAGCCACACUGGGACUGAGACACGGCCCAGACUCCUACGGGAGGCAGCAGUGGGGAAUUUUGGACAAUGGGGGCAACCCUGAUCCAGCAAUGCCGCGUGUGUGAAGAAGGCCUUCGGGUUGUAAAGCACUUUUGUCCGGAAAGAAAUCGCACUUACUAAUAUUAGGUGUGGAUGACGGUACCGGAAGAAUAAGGACCGGCUAACUACGUGCCAGCAGCCGCGGUAAUACGUAGGGUCCAAGCGUUAAUCGGAAUUACUGGGCGUAAAGCGUGCGCAGGCGGUUGUGCAAGACCGAUGUGAAAUCCCCGGGCUUAACCUGGGAAUUGCAUUGGCGACUGCACGGCUAGAGUGUGUCAGAGGGGGGUAGAAUUCCACGUGUAGCAGUGAAAUGCGUAGAGAUGUGGAGGAAUACCGAUGGCGAAGGCAGCCCCCUGGGAUAACACUGACGCUCAUGCACGAAAGCGUGGGGAGCAAACAGGAUUAGAUACCCUGGUAGUCCACGCCCUAAACGAUGUCAACUAGUUGUUGGGGAUUCAUUUCCUUAGUAACGUAGCUAACGCGUGAAGUUGACCGCCUGGGGAGUACGGUCGCAAGAUUAAAACUCAAAGGAAUUGACGGGGACCCGCACAAGCGGUGGAUGAUGUGGAUUAAUUCGAUGCAACGCGAAAAACCUUACCUACCCUUGACAUGCCACUAACGAAGCAGAGAUGCAUUAGGUGCUCGAAAGAGAAAGUGGACACAGGUGCUGCAUGGCUGUCGUCAGCUCGUGUCGUGAGAUGUUGGGUUAAGUCCCGCAACGAGCGCAACCCUUGUCUCUAGUUGCUACGAAAGGGCACUCUAGAGAGACUGCCGGUGACAAACCGGAGGAAGGUGGGGAUGACGUCAAGUCCUCAUGGCCCUUAUGGGUAGGGCUUCACACGUCAUACAAUGGUGCAUACAGAGGGUUGCCAAGCCGCGAGGUGGAGCUAAUCCCAGAAAAUGCAUCGUAGUCCGGAUCGUAGUCUGCAACUCGACUACGUGAAGCUGGAAUCGCUAGUAAUCGCGGAUCAGCAUGCCGCGGUGAAUACGUUCCACGGGUCUUGUAGAC
rnacentral:rRNA from 1 species